AGCAGCCGCGGUAAUUCCAGCUCCAAUAGCGUAUAUUAAAGUUGUUGCAGUUAAAAAGCUCGUAGUUGAAUUUCGGGACUGACACAUCGGUCGUGCCUUAAGGGGUAUGAACUGGUGUAGUCAAUUUCUCACCUUCUGGAGAACCGCGAUGCCCUUAAUUGGGUGUCACGGGGAACCAGGACCUUUACUUUGAAAAAAUUAGAGUGUUUAAAGCAGGCAUUUUGCUUGAAUACAUUAGCAUGGAAUAAUAAAAUAGGACGGCAUGAUUCUAUUUUGUUGGUUUCUAGGAUCACCGUAAUGAUUAAUAGGGAUAGUUGGGGGCAUUAGUAUUCAAUUGUCAGAGGUGAAAUUCUUGGAUUUAUUGAAGACUAACUACUGCGAAAGCAUUUGCCAAGGAUGUUUUCAUUAAUCAAGAACGAAAGUUAGGGGAUCGAAGACGAUCAGAUACCGUCGUAGUCUUAACCAUAAACUAUGCCGACUAGGAAUCAGACGAUGUUAAUUUUUUAAUGACUCG
rnacentral:rRNA from 1 species